rnacentral:rRNA from 1 species
CCUACGGGGGGAGGAAGGAGGGAAGAGGAGAAAGGGAAGAAAGGGGGAAAGAGAAAAAAAGAGGGGGCGAGGAAGGAAGGUGGGUUGUAAAGCACUUUUUGGAAGGAUUAGGAAGGAAUGUACUUCCAGAAUAAGUCUCGGCUAACUACGUGCCAGCAGCCGCGGUAACACGUAGGAGGCAAACGUUAUCCGGAUUUACUGGGCGUAAAGCGCGUGUAGGUGGUUCUGUAAGUAGGGCGUGAAAGCUCCUGGCUCAACUGGGAGAGGCCGUUCUAAACUGCAGAGCUAGAGGAUGGUAGAGGGAGGUGGAAUUCCGGGUGUAGCGGUGAACUGCGCAGAUAUCCGGAGGAACACCAGUGGCGAAAGCGGCCUCCUGGACCAUUCCUGACACUCAGACGCGAAAGCUAGGGUAGCAAACG